rnacentral:lncRNA from 1 species
AAAUUUGAGAAGAGGGAAGACAGAUUGAUGAGAAGAGAAUCUGGAUAGGAGGAUAUGUAGAGGGAGCAAGAGAUGGCUGAGCCUGAGCCACAGAUUGAGGCUAGGUCUGGAUCAUCCUCUCCAGUAGUAGCAUUAGAUUCAAUAGCUCCAGCGGAUGCAUAGUUCUUCACUCCAGGAUCCCCCCACACCCCUUUAGUGCAUCAGAGUCACAAUUUUUCUAUAGAAGGGAUCGCUGAUUAGAUUUUGGAUAGGAUGGAGAGGAUGUUUGAUGAUUUCAAGAAUCAUAUUUUACAGAGCCAC